UGACCACGUGGUUUAUGGACAGCCCCUUAUAUUGCUAAUUUAGAGAAAACUUUCCGUUUUACGGUAGAACGAAAAGCUACCGCAGCUGUCAGACUACUGAUUUUCACUGAGGUAUCAUCAAACUACCAUAGCGAGCCCUAGCGAUAUCUUGGAUACGAAGCCGAUGAUCAUUGUUUGUUGUUGGUUUUCAGUGCAAUUCACCUUGCAAGCAUGCUUUGAUUUGGCCUUCAGUUUCAAUGAUAGGAUGAUUUUCAAGUCUGCGGUAGGACUUUGACAUCCAUUCGCAAGUUAUACGCGGUCCCACGUAUGCCACUGCAUUUUUAUAUAUAUAGAUAAACCACCCACUGACGACCACCAUUUUCAAAAACAGCAAUCAAACCAAAACUCUUUUGCCUUUUUGAAAUAUACACGACAAAACGAAACGCGAGGCACAGCUCUUUCAAAGCGGAGGAUCUCAGCCCGGAAAGUGAAGAAAGAAAACCUUGUGGUCACUUAUUACCGUCAAAUAGUUUCUUUUCGGGUUAGAAAAUACGCACAUCUUCUCACCGGAAUCUGCGUCGGAUGACGAUAAUUUUGAAACUUGUCGGAACGAACUUCACGAGUUAUUUAUUUGGACAUUUUUCUAAAUGUGCGAAACUAAUCUUUACUUGCUGCGUAGAAAACCCGGCUCAAACAUGUACGUGUUAAAACAGCAAAACUCACUGAAUCAUUGCGUUUGUAUUGUCACUCUAUCAUAAUUCUAUGUCAGACAAUCUGUUGUGUUAUUCGUGUAACGAUCUAUGAUAUUGAUUGGUUGAAAAUUUCAAAUAUUUGAUGCAAACUAAAAUAAAUUCCUACCUAUACAAAACAAGAAAAUCAUUCUCUAGAAACUAUAUAGGGGAACUUACGUAUUUUCGGCAGUUUUGUUCUCUUCGUCAUGGGGGGUUUUUUGAAACCUGUUGAUCUCAAAAUUGGCCUCAAAUCCUUCCCAACCAAACUGAGUUAUGUGCCCAAGUUUCAGGCAAUUCGGCCCACAAAAACCCCCCAUGACGAAGAGAACAAACCUGCCGAUAAUACCCUUUGUCACCCUACCUGGCAACAAAUCCAUACUCAUGUUCUUUCGUCUCCUCUUUACGCUACCCAGAGAGCUAAACGCGAGAGAGGGCACGAGCCUACGGAUAGAGACCGUACUUUGCGUGUCUCUAUAUUCUAAGCCCUGCUACGAACCGUACGUAAACUUUUCGCUUUCGAGCUCUUCUUAGCAGCGACCGGUGCGGUUCGCUUCUUUGUUCGGGGCUCUACUUAACGUUAAAACGCUUGAUUGAGCCCAUGAGUGGGCUUGGUCUAAUGGCCAACUUUUCCACACUGGUUCAUUAAGCAACUGAAAUGAGAUGCAUUAUGAAAAAUAGUUGUAUAAUGUUCAUUAUGCAACUCAUUUGUGUUGCAUUAUGAACAUUAUGCAACCCAAAUGAGUUGUAUAAUGAAAAAAUCAUUGCAUAAAAUUUUGUAUGUAACUCGUUGCAAAACUCGAUUUUUUCAGCACUCUUCGUAUUUAUCCAACGACCCGUGCUGAAAAAAUCAACUUUUUGCAACUCGUCACAUAAAUUACUAUUAUUGGUUUUUUUCCUCUACUCGGGGUAUGACAUUAAAAAGCUCUGCAUAUUGAAACAUGAGUAAACAUUGCACAGGAUGGCAUGGUAAUCAUAAGCUGGUAUUUGAUAAAGGAUAUAGGAUUAUGUAAGUGACCUUUCUGCCGAAUUGGAAAUGUGUAUAUAAAAAAUAAAUUUUCAUAUUGCAAGCUUUUCGGAAGUUUUUGUAGAUCAUUUUACGUUGACUAAAACUAUUUCAAUAACUCUGAGAAAAAAAAUGGGUUGAUUUUGAAGCUCCAUACGUUUUGUGUAGGAUGAAAACAAUGUAAACAAACUUUGAGUCCCAUUCACUCCAAAACGCAGUUUAGUAAUUAACGCCUCUUGGCUUGUUUGAAGAUUGUUGUAGAUAACGAAAGUAUUGGAUAAAUUGGACAAAUUG